UUUAACGGCCGCGGUAUUUUGACCGGGGGAAGGUAGCGCAAUCACUUGUCUUUUAAAUGGAGACCUGUAUGAAUGGCACAACGAGGGCUUAACUGUCUCCUUUUUCCAGUCAAUGAAAUUGAUCUUCCCGUGCAGAAGCGGGAAUAAUAUCAUAAGACGAGAAGACCCUGUGGAGCUUUAGACACUAAAUCAGCCCUUGUCCAAAAAUCCCAAUUAAAGGAAUGAACACUAGAGUGAGACCUGAUCUAAUGUCUUCGGUUGGGGCGACCUUGGGGAAAGAAAAAUCCCCCAUGCGGAACGGAAAUACCAUGUUUCCAAAACUAAGAGAGACCACUCAAAGUAUCAAAAAUUUUGACCAACUAUAUGAUCCGGCUUAACGCCGAUCAACGGACCGAGUUACCCCAGGGAUAACAGCGCAAUCCUCUUUUAGAGCCCAUAUCGACAAGAGGGUUUACGACCUCGAUGUUGGAUCAGGACAUCCUAA
rnacentral:rRNA from 1 species